ensembl:lncRNA
AGAGUACAAACUAAUGUGUCAAAAUCGCAGCAUAAUACAGAGCCUUUGGAAAGUCUUCUGAGUUGUGAAGUUUCUCAUUUGAUUUUAUAUUGAGGUGAAUAUAGAGAGCAAAAACAAACAAACAAAAACAGCAUCUAUGCAUUUCAAUGUUGAAACAUAAAUAUUGGUGGUAAAGGGAGGAUGCUGGACAGACUUGGUGUGGCCAAAUGAUGGUGUGCAGGGAAUAUCUGGCAGAUCAGGGAUAUCUUUGAUUUCUAACAGCAUUCCAAUUGAGGUUCUCCUGACAAGUACAGGCAGGUUAAGUGGAGUGCAGUUCUGGCAGCAGCUGAAGCAAAAACCCAGGUCAUGGUCCUCGGUCUUUGACCCAGUUUUUGAGUUUAUUAUGGUCUUGUGAAUCAUUCUUUUGGAUAAGAGAUUUUCUAGUUCUAUAUUGGUUUAGUAGUAGUAGUUUUAUAUCAGUUAAUCUUGAGUUUUGUUUCUCUAGUGCAUCUGAGUUUGUUAUUGAUAGUUCCUGGUUCUUAGUUUUGUUAUGUUAGUUCCCUUUAGUGUCUAGUCUGUUCCUGGUCUCAUAUCGGUCUUGUCAUCAGCGACUCCUGUUCUAGUCUGGUUAGUUUCCAUGUUUCGUUAUCCUUUGUUUUCCUGAUCAUGUUCCCAUGUCUCUCUGGUCUCUCUGUCCUCCCAUGUUAAUUCAUCUGUGGUCAAGUUCACGUGUCUCAGUCUAGAGCUAAGUGUGUGCUGUUUCCUGUUUUAUUUUGAUAGUCUCCUGCCUCGCGUGUAUUAUAUUCAGUUUUUUACUUCCCUUGUCUCCCUAGUCAGUGAUUAGUGUCAGCUGUGUACCCACCUGGGGCCUGUCCCCUCAUGAUCCUGUGUGUAUAUCGUCUCAGUCUUCCUCUGUUCCUUAUCACGUUCUCCCUCACAGUGUCCAGCUGUGAUGGCUACCGCUGACCACACCACUUCUCAGCAGUACACUCAGCAACCGACUGCAGCACCUGGGCCCUCUCAGUCCCACCAGAGAGCGUCCUACCAGCCAGCACCAGCUCAGCCCGAUGACCCAGCUGAGCUCAUGACCACAUCACCCAGCCAUGAACAGCCAUUCCUAAGACCACCGCCAUCAUAUGAGGAAACAACUGGUCCUGCCUACCCUGUACAACUGAUGCCUUCCAGCGAGACAGUGUUCAUCCCCAGCGAUCCACUGUACCUAUCAGAGGGUAUUGUGCAUGAGUACAACGGUCUACAGGACAGCACAGACUUCCUAACCAGCUCUGCAUGCGACCCUGAAUUUGUUAUAAGCUAGGCUUAAUAGUCAUAGCGGCCCAAUCAGAUACAAACAUGAUGCAAAAUAUUUGGCUCAAAUGGAAGUAUGUUGAAUGAAGAUGAGACACGGCAGACUAACUUGAUGUAUUUUCAAUUUUAUUCUUUAAACCAGUUUUUAGUGGCUCAAGUUAUUUAGAAAAAUUGAAACAUGAGGUCACUGUUUCUCACUAAUUGUCUUUGGGCUUAUUCCUCAAGAUCUCUGCCUCUUGUCUUUACUCUCUAUUGGGGAAAGUACUUGACAGUCAGAUUCAGUGGUCACCAGUUAGGUGUUUCAGUGUUCAUUAGAAAUGCAUCGAUGGAUGCGCAUGCGAGAUAAAUAUGAACACGUUAAAGAAGCUAAAGUCAGGCGGUUGUACAGAAAAUCAUUGUGAAGUUUAAUAACUUUUGUUAUUAUUUUAUUAUUUUAUUAUAGUGCAUCUCUAGUAUCUGUGGAUAUCAUCUCAUCGCUAUCUAUGAAUUUACUGCAGACCUGCAAAGUGCUGUUAACCUUUUUUUCCCUGUGUAUUUGUGUGCAUUGUCUUGUGAGUCAUGCUACAUGUGAAUAAAUUCAAAGAGUGAAAACAUUUAUCACUGAGGGUUUUUUCUCCAUUCAUGUCAGGUCAGCUGAUCACUCAGGCUUCCUGAACACAUACAGUUCCACUUAGUUAAUACCUAAAAGUGUUUUUGACCAUCAAAUACAACUUUAAAAUUCAUCAUGUCAUUUUGACAAAAUAAGCAUCCUCU